rnacentral:tRNA from 1 species
GGACUUAUAUUCAAUAAUGAUAUUAAAUUGCAAAUUUAAUGGUGUAAUAAUAUACUAAGGCCU